rnacentral:rRNA from 1 species
AGCGAACGCUGGCGGCAGGCCUAACACAUGCAAGUCGAACGAAGUCUUCGGACUUAGUGGCGGACGGGUGAGUAACACGUGGGAACGUGCCUUUAGGUUCGGAAUAGCUCCUGGAAACGGGUGGUAAUGCCGAAUGUGCCCUUCGGGGGAAAGAUUUAUCGCCUUUAGAGCGGCCCGCGUCUGAUUAGCUAGUUGGUGAGGUAAUGGCUCACCAAGGCGACGAUCAGUAGCUGGUCUGAGAGGAUGACCAGCCACAUUGGGACUGAGACACGGCCCAAACUCCUACGGGAGGCAGCAGUGGGGAAUCUUGCGCAAUGGGCGAAAGCCUGACGCAGCCAUGCCGCGUGGAUGAUGAAGGUCUUAGGAUUGUAAAAUCCUUUCACCGGUGAAGAUAAUGACUGUAGCCGGAGAAGAAGCCCCGGCUAACUUCGUGCCAGCCGCCGCAGUAACAC